CUAAGGAAACCAAUAAAAUCAAUCAUCUUCAGUUUUGAAAGACUUAGGAUAACUAAGUUUUUCUUCGUGACUUCACGAAGGGCCUAUAGCUCAGUUGGUUAGAGCACACGCCUGAU
rnacentral:misc_RNA from 1 species